rnacentral:lncRNA from 1 species
AUGGGGUAAGAAUAUUAGAACAGCUUUGUACCAGGUGAACACUAAUAUUUAAUAAUCAAACAAUUUGUGAUACUAACAAAUAGAUAAGGAAAACCAUAUAAUUUUAUCAAUAGAUGCAGAAAAGAAUUUGACAAAACACUGAUUCCUGAUUUUUAAAAAAGGACUUUCAACAGUUUAAGAAUAAAAGGGAAUUUUCUCAACCUAAUAAAAAGCACCUAUGAAAAACCAACAGCUGCCAUCACAGUAAUGGUGAAAGACUUAGGGCUGUCCUCCUAAAA